rnacentral:rRNA from 1 species
UACGUAGGGUGCGAGCGUUGUCCGGAAUUAUUGGGCGUAAAGAGCUUGUAGGCGGUUUGUCGCGUCUGCUGUGAAAUCUCAAGGCUCAACCUUGAGCUUGCAGUGGGUACGGGCAGACUAGAGUGUGGUAGGGGAGACUGGAAUUCCUGGUGUAGCGGUGAAAUGCGCAGAUAUCAGGAGGAACACCGAUGGCGAAGGCAGGUCUCUGGGCCACUACUGACGCUGAGAAGCGAAAGCAUGGGGGAGCGAACAGG